ACGUCCGCGGUAGAGGUGACACCCAGGGCCUGCGGGUCUCAGAGGCCCGGUGGCCUCCUCCUUGCCCAAGAAACCCCCACGGGGGCGCCUGCAGCGGGGACACCAAGUGCUCCCGGGAGCCCUGGGAUCACUUCUUCUGAGGCAUGGAGCCCCUGCUUAGGUGCUUCCGAAAGUUCCUUUGAGGACCCCAGAGACCCCUAGGCAACCGUCUGCCCUGCCCCGCGCCCCCGCCGCCCCCCGCCGCCCCCCCCGCAGCACCCCGCGGGCCCCCAACCUCCGUGAUGCGCAUGCCCAGGGGCCCUGUGGGCUAGAAAGUAGCUGAGCUGGUGCAGUACCUGCUGGUUAAGAACCGGAAGACGGUGGCGAUCAAAAGGGCAGACAUGCUGAAGUAUGUCAUCAAAAGUAAAUGAGGCCUUGAGAGAAGAGGAGGCGAUAUACCCUGUGCCCGAGAUGCAGCUGCCGUUGGUGACGUGACAAGUGCCAGUGUUAGUGCCAGUUCCAGUUCCAGGGCCUAUGCCAUGGCUGAAGCAAGCAUCAGCACCAGCACCAAUGCAAGUGCCAGUGCCAGGGCUAGAGGCAUGGCUGGAGCAAUGAUCAGUAUCCGGGACAGUGCCAGUGCUGGUUGCAGUCUCAGGCUAGUGUCAGGGACUCCUCCUGCCAGCGGUGAAGGCUGAAGCUGAGCCUUCACUUUGUUUUUCUGUGGGUAGUCGAAAGGGCCCCACAGCGGUGGGCACUGGGGCCCUGACUUUUCGAGAGUCGAGGGGUAGAGUGGGGUUAGGGAGAACAUGCCGCCCAUGGUGUCUGUGUUCCAGUUCUACUUGUGUUUCUCAGUGAUUUAGCCUUCAAUUUGCAUAUUGCAAAGUUCUGUUUGCCUUAACUUGUUUUAAAAUGAUAAUUAACUUACAGGAAAUAAACCGGUUAAGACUACAUGGUGAUAUAAUUAUAUCAAAGUUGAAACAAAAACCAUACCCAAGCAUCUUUUUUUUUUCUUUUCAAAAUCCUUUGUUCCAUAGACACUUGAUUGAGUAUUUAAGUUGGACAUCUAGGUUUAUGAAUGACGUCAGUCAAAUGUUUUAUUGUUCUCUGUUUUGGUUUUAGCAGGAGGGAUUUGCUGUUUCAUAAAAUAAAUCAGGAUACUAUAUCAUUUAAUGGCUGUAACUUAUCAUAGCACUGGAAUAAGCUGUUUUUUGGAAGUUUGAGAGACUACCAGUACACUCAUUCCCCCCUCCAAAUAUAAAAAGAUAAAAAGGCGAUCAGUGUCUGUUGCACAAAAUUACAACCGCUCUCUGCUUGUAUUUGCCUAAUUCUCCAGAAUGUAGGGAAAAAUAAAAUAUCAAUGAUUUAGA